UUGUCAGUUAAAGGCAUUCUUUGACAUCCUAAAAUCAAUGAAUUGUAACUUGACUUGUGACAAACAACUAAGGUUUGACCUUUGUGACAACAGGACAACAGCCAUAAGGAGAAGAUGGUCAACAUAUGUGUGAAAUUCCACACAUAAUUCAGCAUCAGCACUGGAUCAGCGUGAAUUUCCAAAAGCAGACUGUAGCCUGGAAACAGGAAGCAGGGAGUAUCCUGCUGUCUUUCCACCAGUGAUUGGUUCCCAUUGUCAUGACUGAUGAUAUCACUAGGAGUUUCACCAACACUGCUGUGUUGAAAAGCACUUGGCAUAGCACUCAUGAAGGAGGCUUACCUCUGCUGUUUCUACUUAGGUAUUUGGUUGUGAAAUACUGUGAAUUUGAAAAUGUGCACAGCGCAUCAUAUUAUAUUUUCAAUUAGCAGUUACUUCUUAUGACUUUCAUAUAAGGACUAAGAAACAUGUCUCUGUAAUUACUACUCUCCCAUG